rnacentral:tRNA from 1 species
GGUAUAGCCAAGUUGGUAAGGCGCCAGACUCUGACUCUGGUCAUCGUAGGUUCGAGUCCUACUACC